rnacentral:misc_RNA from 1 species
AAUAAAUAAAAGGAUCUAUAUUAGAUGUUCAUCAUGACUAAUGGUGCUACUUCAAUUGUAUAGAAAAAGAGUAACCUUCUAUGUUCCGCUUUCUCUAGCUUUUUCUUUAUAGGAUUUUGAAAAAAGGAUGAUAUAUAUUGUAUUGCUCAAUACAUGCUAUUCUGUUUCCCAUACCUUUGGCAUAGCGAUCCAAAUAUAAGCUAACUGUGUGCGAAAUUUAAUUUCAUUUGAAUGCUAGAGGUGGUUACUGUGCUUGUAAUUUAUUACUGGAAUUUAAAACAUAACCAUUUCAUCGUUGAAUUACAAUAUUUAGAUAUUGUUUGAGCAUGGAAAUUAAUUCUAAUUGUUCUGUUGCUAUUUAAGGUUUGACUAUUAUUGGGGUGUCUUUUCCAUGUUCGCUGAGUUGUCAGCAUAAAUGUGCAUAAUGAUUUGAAAGUAAAUGUAUCUCAACCCCUAGUUAGGUUGUGUAAGCGUUGAUCAAACCUCUUUUUAGCAGUUUAAUGAAUUGCAUGAUUUUAUUUGCUGUUCUGUCGAAUGACUUUGUUUGGUUGUCUUUUGCAAUAUCUUUAACAAAUUGAUUAUAGUGGCACUGUUCAAUUCUCACGCAUGCCAUGGUUCUUCUCAACCAAUUGAUUUGGGUAAUAAUUUCUUUUUACUUGUUGUUGUUCCCUUAUUAAUAUGCACAUAUAUUUACUUUUAUGGGUUGUAUGCAUCUCUAUCUGGGUAUAUUAUUAUUAUUUUUUCUUAUUUGAUAUUAUCCAGCCCCAGUGGACAACAAUUUAUAUCCUGUAAGGAAGUUGCUGCAUAUUUGCAAUCACUUUUUGGACCAUAUGAUGCUCAACAAGUGAAGGAUCAUGCAGGUGACAGUAUCCAGCAGGUCCACAGACUAGCUUCUGAAAGUUAUGGAGGUGCGACCAAGAAGGAUGAAGAUCAGAGGCAAG